UGUACUAUUUAUGUAAAUGUGUAACUUUGAUGUGUUUUAACGGGCGCGCACGUUGAGCAUUCAAAUCGCAUUUAAACUGGAGCGGAAGGCGUUACCAUGGAAACGGGCCGUCAACUCACUCAGCUGACAAGUAGCGAGAGUCCAUAUCUCUGCUUUUUUCACUGCUUGUAAGGAAUGGAUUAGUGUCUUCAAAAAGACCAUUAGCAUCACAACCGUUAACUAGCUAUAGAGGCUAACUAUUAGAGGAGCAUCAGAAAACCCUAAAAUGGGAAGUUACAAGAAAAUGUGUCAUGGGAGCUGCUGACAGAGAUACAGGAAACACAGGUGAU